UGCCGUGCUAGGAUCGGAUUU
rnacentral:piRNA from 1 species